rnacentral:rRNA from 1 species
GACGAACGCUGGCGGUGUGCUUCACACAUGCAAGUCGAACGAGGUAGCAAUACCUAGUGGCGGACGGGUGAGUAACGCGUGGGAAUCUGCCCAUAGGUGGGGGAUAACUAGCCGAAAGGUUAGCUAAAAACCGCAUAUGCCGAGAGGUAAAAGGAGUAAUCCGCCUUUGGAUGAGCCCGCGUCCGAUUAGCUAGUUGGUAGGGUAAAAGCCUACCAAGGCUACGAUCGGUAGCUGGUCUGAGAGGAUGAUCAGCCACAGUGGGACUGAGACACGGCCCAUACUCCUACGGGAGGCAGCAGUGGGGAAUUUUACGCAAUGGGGGAAACCCUGACGUAGCGACACCGCGUGAACGAAGAAGCCCUUUGGGGUGUAAAGUUCUGUCGGCUGGAACGAAAAAAAUGACGGUACCAGCAAAGGAAGCAAUCGGCUAACUACGUGCCAGCAGCCGCGGU